GAUGAACGCUGGCGGCGUGCCUAAUACAUGCAAGUCGAGCGAACGGACGAGAAGCUUGCUUCCUUGAUGUUAGCGGCGGACGGGCGAGUAACACGUGGAUAACCUACUUAUAAGACUGGGAUAACUUCGGGAAACCGGAGCUAAUACCGGAUAAUAUUUUGAACCGCAUGGUUCAAAAGUGAAAGACGGUCUUGCUGUCACUUAUAGAUGGAUCCGCGCUGCAUUAGCUAGUUGGUAAGGUAACGGCUUACCAAGGCGACGAUGCAUAGCUGACCUGAGAGGAUGAUCGGCCACACUGGAACUGAGACACGGUCCAGACUCCUACGGGAGGCAGCAGUGGGGAAUCUUCCGCAAUGGGCGAAAGCCUGACGGAGCAACGCCGCGUGAGUGAUGAAGGUCUUCGGAUCGUAAAGCUCUGUUGUUAGGGAAGAACAUAUGUGUAAGUAACUGUGCACGUCUUGACGGUACCUAAUCAAAAAGCCACGGCUAACUUCGUG
rnacentral:rRNA from 1 species